CUGACCUUCCCUCCACUAUUGUCCUAUGACCCUGCCAAAUCCCCCUCUGUGAGAAACACCCAAGAAUGAUCAAUAAAAAUAAAAAUAAAAAUAAAAUAAAAUAAUCAACAAUGGUAAUUAGUUUACAGACAGAUGCUAGGCUCUAGAAAAGCAUGAGUUCUAGUCUAACAAAAGUUAUUAGAGGGAACUCAGGAGAAUGGGCAGAUAUGGAGUCACCAGUAACUUCCCUGAUGGAGAACGCCAUAGAAUGGGGUAAAGAAAGUGCCUAUGUAGAAAUUUCUUUUGCAAGAGUCAGCCAGAGGAAAUCACUAAAUGCCAAGGGUAGAAGACAGACUAACCUCCUCUUUGAACAUAAAUAAAAAUUGAGAAAGCCAUUUAAAGGAUGUAAGGACGGCUUAGCCCAACCUGCUAGUGGCCAUCCCCACUUCCUGCCUCCUCCCUGAGUACUGGCUCUGCAGUCCUCCUACUGCUACUUGGCUUUUGGCUGGGGCAGAUGCUGCCGGAACUUUCCCUUGGCAGGUGGGAGGCUGGGGAGAUGAGAAGGUGGACCCCAUGCCAGGCUCAAGAGAAAUCUGGCCACACUGACAAGGCCACCCACCCACAUAGGAGUCCUGAAAAAGAUGAGAGGGAUGGCAGGGCAGGCACUGUUCCUGAGCACCAUUUACUGUGUGCUGAAGGUGAAAAUGCCACCUCUUCUCCUCCUCGCCACAAAGUCCAUGAGGUCGGCCUUAUGAUCCUCACAGUGUAGAGGGGCUAGCUAGGAGCAUGCUCAAGGUCCCAGCCUAGCAAGCGCGAAGCCUCACAUCUAGGUAUGUCUGGGAUCAGGCCCACGCUCUUUCCACCACACUGUGUUGCGUCUCUGUCAUCUGGGAAGUUAUGAAUGGUCUCAUGCUUUCUGAGUUAGAGCUACAGCAAAAGUAGUAAUGUGCACAAAACCAGUCCCCACCUGAGUUCCUUCUCCAGCCUCAGGAUUCUUUGAAGGGAAGAAGCAGUUCCUAGAACUCCUUGAAAUUACACUCAAAAUAGUGUGUGCAUGAUAUGGAUUUUUUUGACAAGAGCGUCGAUGCUUUCCAUUGGGUUCUUAAAAAGGAUCUAUGACUUUAAAAUGGUUAAUAACGAGUGCGUUGGGCAUUAUUUUGUCUGACUAUCUCUCUUGACAGAUAAGGAAAUGGAGUUCUUUGAACUCUAUUUUCUACUUUGAGUUACAGUGUUUAUUCUGCAGGAACAGCAGCACAGCCUGCGCAGUAUCUGCUCCUUCCUUAGUGCUGCGGAAACUUCCUAGUGAGGCCAAACAGCAGGGCCACUGCAACACUAGAUGAGCGCUGGUUCCCAGGCUGUUACUUGGAAGCCACUGAUAAAGAAGUCAUAUGACAGGAGUUCCAUGUCUUUCAUUUUUUGGCAAGGUUUCUAGAAACUUUGGUCCUUCCUAAGAAUAAAUACAAUCUGCACUGUUUUUACUCUUAUCAUCUGGAAGUCACUGCCAAAGCCAGGCCUUGGACUGAGCCCACAACCACACAAGCCUGGCUGAUUGAGCUUGAAUCUGCCGGAUCUAGAAUUCCACUUGAGUGCACAGAUGUCCUGGGAGUUUUUCUGCAUUUCCAUUAGUUUAAGAUGAAGGAUCUAUGAUGGAGGAUGAGGAUUGUGAGGGGUGUCCUCACCCACUUGUCCUGUUUAUUCCAAGUCAGUAUCUUUUAUUAUUGAUUCAAUAAGAUGACUUAAGUGAAUAGAAAAAUGUGAUUUAAUUUGUCUAACUCUAUAGGACUAGAUAUCAUGGAUUCAGAUUUGGAAAACAUGGCUACUACAAACAGAUAUCUUUUUAUUAAUUAAAUAAUAAUGAUAAGUAUUAUAGCUAUUCUUUUUAUUUAAUUUUUUUCUUCUUUUGAAGAAAAUAUUCACACUCUGCAGGAUAACUUCUGGUAAUUAUACAUGUGAAUUUACAUAAUACAGAAUGUUAACAUUUAAAAAAAUCAACGUGUAUAUUUUGCUUUUUUUUUAAAUUUUGAACAUGUAUAUUUUGUAUUCAGCUUUACUGACUUACUAAUUUAUGUGUACUUUCCCAACUACUGACAAUAUUUUAUCACUUUAAAAUGGCUACAUUAUGAAAAUCUUUAAA
rnacentral:lncRNA from 10 species